CUGGGCCCCAUUCAUCCGCGGGGGCGUCCCGGCCGGGGCCAGACUACAUGUCCCAGGGCGCCGCGCGCCCUUGCGUCCGGCCACGUCGGGUCCCGCCUCACGGUUCUUCCGCCAGAGACGAGAGCCGGACGGGGUGCCCGUCGUGCCUCGCGCGGCAGGAGGCCGCUGGGCUUGCUGGGAAGUGAAGUUCCGGAGCCGAGAGGCCGCUGGAGGCUCGGAGAGGGUCGUGCUGUGCAGUCGCCGCUGCUAUCAUCCGAAGCAGUUCGCCUGGCAAGAGCGGGAGUAGACAUGGAGCCUGUGAACUUGCUUGUCUACGUCUUGGAAAGAACUUGCGACUCGGGGAUAGAGUCUCGGCUCGGCCGCUACUCAGCUCCGCCGCGUCGGGCGACUUCCUCGAGCCGAGUCCCGCCCUAGGUGAAGACGGGAACGGUAAUGCCUGUCUUGCCCGCUUGCCUGGGCCUGGCCUAACUGCAGCCUGAGAUUCACUAAGCACCGCGGCGUGUGUUCCCGGGUGACGCCCACGCUCCUGGUCCGUGGACCACGUCUGGAGGAGCAGACGCAGGCCUGGAGACCCGCGACUCCGGGACCGGUUUCGGCCCUCCUGUUGAGCCAGGGACUCGUGCGGCCAGCCUGCCCCGAGGCCCCCUUCCCCGCCGCUUAUGUCCUGCCCAGACGAACUUAUCUUUGUUUUUCAUUUCGCCACCAGGCAUCUUUUUUUUUUUUUUUUUUUUUUACAUUUUUAAUUUAAAUUCGAUUUGCCGACGUAUAGUAUGACACCCAGGGCUCAUCCCAUCAAGGGAUCCCUCAGUGGCCACCAGGUAUCUUUAAAGAGUGAUCUAAGUUCAUAGUCUUUGCUUUUUACUCUGAUGAAAGGCUGACUCUUGAUGACCUCUUAAUUGUCAAAACCAUAUACCACAUCCUCGCCUUACGUGAUCUUGCAGUGGCUUUUGACGAUGAAAGCUCCAUCCUCUUGACACUCUCUUGUCCGUUUGCCUAUAAGACACAAGUCUCCUGCUUCUCUUUCUAUUUCUCUAUUUUUUUUUUUUUUCAGUUUUGUUUGCGGGCUUUUCCUCCUCUGCCCCAAGCCUACCAAAGUCCAAUUAUUUGUCCCUCCUCUUCCUGCCCGAAACACUUUCUGUAGGUGAUCUCAUUUCCAUAACUUUAACCAUCGUUAUAUGUAACUCAGAGCCCAUGUGUGUAUAUAUGGGCAGGUACAGCCCCAAUUUCCUGUGUGCCUUAAACUUUCCAACUGCUUAUUUGACUUCUUCAGCAAUAUGUCCUUGUAAACCCUUCAGCUUAAGUAUAUACACAGCUCAUCUACCCUUCCAUAUAGGCCUUUAUUUCUUUUUCUAAAAAGAUUUCAUUGCUUUAUUUGAGAGAGAGAGAGAGAGCACAAGCAGGGAGAGGGGAGGGGGCAGGAGGAGGAGGAGAAGCAGGACCCUGGGAUCAUGAUGAGCUGAAGGCAGAUACUUAACUGACUUAGUCACCCACGUGUCCCAAUAGGCCCUUAUUUCUACUAAGGACAUUAUCUAUCCACCUAUUCUCUUUGGGCAGAAACCUGAAAGAUUUUCACAGUCUUCCUCUCCUUCCCACCACACAUUUAUUUGAUCUCUACAUCCUGUCAAGUAUGCCUCACAGAUACUUCUAGAUUCCAGCCUCUCAAUCCACUUAUCCUCUUGCAGAAGCCUUUAAACAUGUCUUGGUGCCUUCAACCUCUGCCUUCUUCAGCCCACCCUUCAUGCUGUCUCCAGACUGUGUUUCCAAAAAACAAACUCAAAACUCUCUGUGUCGCACUGCUAUGCUAAAAUGUCUUUUCUAGUUGUUUAGUUCUGUGUAAUAGACCACACUGAAGUGUAGUGAUUCAAAAUAUAGUGUAGAGCCAAAUAAAAAAAAUUCUUCCCUGCAGUUCUUUAUAUUAUACAUGCUCAACACACAGCUCCAUUGGGGUUUUCUGAGGUUUUCUGAUGUAGUGGUUGUCAGAUGUCACCGGAGGUUGGAGUCCCCUGAAAGCUGGGCUGAGGAACAGCCUUUUCCCCAUGGUCUCUCUUAGGCUGUGCUUCCUCUCAAUGCUGUAGUCUCAGGAUUGCUGGACUUCUUAUAUACAACUGUCAUCCCUCGAAUGAGUUUUCCAAGAAACAAAGGCAGAAGCUGCAGUGGCCUCAGAAGUCACAUAGUGUCACUUGCACCAAAAUCUAUUGGUUCCAUUGGCCAACCCAGAUUCACUGUGGAAGAGGUCUAACCAAGGCAUCGGUUGGGUGCGGGCCAGGAGGGCAUCUUUGAAGACUAGCUAUACGGCACUUCUUGGCUCCUUGUGUAAAAACCACACUUGCAGAAGGUAGACAAGCAUGUCACAAUUAAGUCACAGUUGAUCUCUGUAGUUUCAUCUGCUACUAUCCUUCCCAGUGCUAUCUAUCCAGACUCUUACCACAUUAAACACUCUCUGCUUUCUGAGUUUAUGGUGACUUUCAAAAUUCACAUCUCUGCACAUGUCCUCUCUGCUCAGAAUACCCCCUUUCUCCCUGGUCAUCUUCUACUCAUCCCUUCACAGCAGUGGAGGACAGUGGAGCAAGCACAUACUUCUGCACCAUGUGGAGGGACAGUCCCCUCUCAGAUACCAUCUUUCUGUGUGUAGCUUUACAGUCUACCAUUCCCGGCUCCCUCCUCUCUCUGCAGCGCUUCAUCCAUUCCUGAACGAAUCCAUGAAACCUGUUGUGUUGUAGUUGUCACUUUCAAGUCGGUCUCCCCUGUAGACCAUGCUCCUUUGCAGACAGAACCAAGAAUAUUGGAUUCAUCCCUUGAUCCUCAGUAUCAUAUACAAUGACUGAUAUUGUACUAUGUACAUAUAUUUUUUUGUUGUCUUGAAUGAGCUUUGCUUUACUACUUGAGUCAGAUAAUUAAUAACUUGUACAUUCAAUAAAUAUGUAUAUAUUUUUAUUAAUUAUUUUUAUUACAUAGUACAUAUUUUCAGUCAUGACUCAUUUUUAAACAUCAAAAGUAUAAACACAAAAAAUGCACUGCUCAAUUCAUUUGCAUAAACAAUGAUAUACAUAACCAAUACCCUGGCCAAGAAACAUUCCAGAAUUUCCUUAUUCCCCCUCCCAAUCACUAAUCCCCUCCAGGAAUAACCACUUUUCUUCCUUUCCAGCACCAGAAUUUGCUUUGCCUGUUUUGGGACUUCACAUAAAUGGAAUCAUACAGCAUAUUUUCUUUUGUUUCUGUUUCUUUCAUUCAAUAUUCUGUUUCUGUUUGUCUGUGUUGUUGCAUGUAUUUGUAGUUCGUUUACUCUCAUUGCUCUCCAGCAUUCCUUGCCAUGAAUAUACCACAAAUUAUUUCUCUCCUUUUGGGAAUGGACAGUCUGGCUAUUACGAAUAGCACUACUAUGGAAUCUGCCCCACUUAGCUUCUGGUGAGCUAUUAAGCACGCGAUUCUGUUGGAUGUGAGUAUAUUAAUCAAGGCCUUAGUCAGGAAACAGAAAUCACACAGUCGUGAACAGGGAAAGUUUGAUCUCAAGAAUUACUAACUAGUAACAGAGAAGUCAUGACUCUAAGGAGUUAAGGAACUCCCAAGAUUGUACAUAUAGCAGAUACGAGGAGCAGCUCCCACCUAAGACUGAGGCAGACAACCCAAGGAAGGAACAAAUUUGGAAGAUGGCCUUCUUGAAGGCCAAACUGAGAUCUGGGCCUUACUGAAAAGGGUGUGGUUAUGGCCACCUGGCUAGCAGAGUUCUGUGAGCUGCCAAUCAAACUCACUGUGAGCCACCCUCUGGAGUCCAGCUGGGUCACUGGCCAACUCAUCAGGAAGCUGCUUGGGGACAUGGUACUUCCUAGGAAGCCAGAUCUGGCUCUGGAACAGGACUCUCUAGUAGACUCCUGCAAAGGUACUGCUGAAUUCUGCGUCCUCACAACACUGCUCUUGCAGCACAUCCUGUGACAAAGCUCCUCACUGGGUCACCUGGCAGAGGACAGAUGUCCACAGGAUCCAGCGCACCAGCACCACAUGCAAAACUGUGAAGAGUGAAUUUGGAGAUCCUUCUUCCACUCUUCUCUGUCCUGCUUUGAGCCCUGAGAAUUCUACUCAACUGGGCUACACACCAGGCUCCAUUGCUUCCUGGUUUCCAGACUUGUAAUGAGAAACGGAUAAGAUGAUAUGAUGCAAAAUGCUUAACAUAGGACCUAGUGCAUGGCGAAGGCUUCAAAAUUGUUACCCACUGGGCACCAAGCUCUGUGCUAGGAAAGGCAGGGAAAAUAAAGACCUGAAAGACAUAGUCUUGUGCUUCAAGGACUUGCAGGUACAAUGAGGGAGAGAGUUGGCUUCACUGCAGAGAUUUUCUCACAUUCAAUAUGUGCACAGCCUGAACAGCCUUCCCCUCUACCCUGAAGUUUUUUUCAAAGUCCCAAGUCUGCCCUUUCUAGUCCCAGCUGGGCAAACUGUAGAACUUCAUGCUUGGGAGAACAGUUCAUUUUUGCCACGGCCCUAUUUUCAUCCUAUCAGGUGGUAGAGGAGCCCUGCUCUAUUAAUUUAAGUGAUUAUUUUAAGGCAGCUACUGUGGAAUGUUUCUUACUUUCUACUGACCUGCGACCCCAUGAUUCAUCUGCAGCGGCAGCUUCCAUAUCACAGCAUCAUCAAAAAAGAUCUCAGCAUACUUAUUGGCAUUCUAUAAGAGUGUUAGUGACAAUACAGAGCUGAUGGAAGGGUCUUAUGCGUCAUGAAUAUGAAUAUCAUCAUUCAAAUUACUCUGGUGGAUGUUGAAGAUAAAAGGAAAUGUUUUAUUUUGUGUUCAUUAAGCACUAGAGGGUAUGUUUCCCCUGGAUGCCAACUCAUUAUAUCUGUAACGGUUAAUGGGAGUUAAAUUCCAACAUCACAUCAAGGGGGGAAAAUGAUCCCUCAAGUAUUUGGAAACUCCUUCCUCUAAAUUGCAGAUCAAAGCUAGGUUAUGAACUUCUAGGUUGUCUUGCUAAUGGAUUUGACUGACUGUAUUCUUUGAAUUUUUUUCCCUCCAAACACUAACUUUCCGUAAGUAGAGAUAAUUACAGAGAUUUUAUAGGCACAAGAUGUCAUGAGUUCUCCCAGAACCAGCCCCCCAUCAUAGAGAAGAAACACUAACAGCAAAUAAAUGCCUGUGAAGUAUUAGGGGCCUUCCUUAUGCCCCUCUCCCUUCCAUUUCACAAAACCUCGAGAGAUGCUUCUGUCUUGCAUAUGGGGAAACUGAGGCCUGGGUUGAUUAGAUUGCCUGCCCUAAAGCACACAGCUGAUAGGAGAAUGAGGCCCCAUGCCCAGUGCUGUCUGGUUUAAAAACGCAUUCUAAGGUGCCUGGGUGGCUCAGUUAGUUAGCUGUCGGACUCUUGAUUUCAAUUCAGGUCAUGAUCUCAGGGUCAUGAGAUGGAGCCCCAUGUCAGGCUCCAAGCUCUGCAGGCGGGGGGUCUGCUUGAGAUUCUCUAUCUUCCUCUCCCUCUGGGCCUCUACCAGCUCAAGCAUGUGUGCAUGCUCUCUCUCUCUUGCGCUCUCUCUCUCUCUUUCUCUCAAAACCCAACCAACCACACCAACAAAAACACAUUCUAACCCACUGCUUGGGGAUGUCUCCCCAGCUCCCGUCAGAUUCCUACCCUAUAAUACAUGUUCUCUAGGGUUGGGGUGGGUGAACAAGAUGAGGCAAAACCAAGCUGAUACCAUUGCCAGAGGUGUGACCGUCUCAUGCAAGCUGUCUGCCCAGGUGGUUUUCUUCCCUUCCCUAAACCUAAACCUGCCAAGUAGAAAAUGCAUCAGUCCCAGGUCAUGGUCUGGCCCGUGAGCAGCUAGGAAGCUGAGCUCUCCAUGACUGAGGAGAGGAAGAGGACGGCAGGGGGGGGGCAAGAGUGUGGAGAAGGGAGAAGAAGCAUGCUGGUCCUGGGAUGGGACACUCCUCCUUGUGUCCCAUCUUACCUAAGAGGAGCUUUCUAGUAACUUCUGGGAGGAGAGGAACCCCAGAAAGCUCAGCCCCAGGCAGAUUUUAAUAACAUUUAACACAAGAUGUGUCCUCUGUGGAGUCAAAUCUGCUCUCUUGUUACUGAAGUUGAAGGAGAAAAUGACUCCUUACUCUCUUUAUAUCAUCUUGCUGGGACUGCUUCUGGGCUCUACACAGAACAGGGCCCAGCUCUGUAAUCUUCCUCCCAGGACCCAUUUUCUGGGUCGGGGUAAUAUUUGUGUUGUUCUCCUUGGGGUUCCCUUUUGUAUUACACUGUCUGGGGUGAAAUGUGGGGCCCAGGAGGAGGUGGAAAUGGAUCUGCUAAGCAACACUUGAAGUAACAGACAACCCUGCUGAGACCCCACCUGGAAAGCUGUGCUCAGCUCUGAGCCUCUAAUUACCAGCCAGGUACAGACAAAUGGGGCUGAAUGUUGGGGGAAAAGCAACCAGAGUGAUGGAAGAGGACAGCUGGAUUUAUGAAGAAAGAUUAAAAGAGCUGAAUAGGUAAAUGAUGUUCUGGGGGGAACUUAGGGACCAUCUACUUAUAUCUGAAGGUUGUAAACAGCGGAGCAAGAAUUAUCUUGGUGAGACCCACAAAAUAUAACAGAGAGUAAUGAAAAGAAAUAUAUAAUAAUAAUGGACUGUAAUUUUAUACCCAUUCCCAUCCCAAGAAACCUCAAAGCAUUUUAUGGCUUAGGAUAAUAUACGCACUAUGGUGGGGUGCACUCAGACUGUAAAGAGGCUUGUCAUUUUGCUCAAGCCCUUGCAAAAACAAUAUUUAGUGAGAGGGUAAUGGGCACUUGGUGUAUGAAGACGGGACCCUGGCUUGGCGGGACUAGCUGCCCCCUCACGUGUGUGGUGUGGGUGGGGAAGGGCCCUGUUUUGUGUCAGGCCACUGACAGAGCUUCCUGCUGCCCUGCUCAGUGGCACACACAAUUCAAUCCCCAUUACAAAAAAUAAUAAUAAUUAAAAAAAAGUCGAAGGAUCUUCACAGAGAAAGAUGGGUCUCAGGGUGGGAGGCUGCUCCAGCUUGCAUCCAAACACGGCAUGCACGGUCAGCUGCUGGAUGGAGCCACAUUCACUGCCGCCAGGCCUCCUCUGGCUUCACCCGCUCCCGGCCACACUGUGAAAGCCUGUGGACUCUGCGGAGUCUCUGCCUCUCCCCAGACCUCACCUUCUCGGCCUCUAUCUGGGGAGGCAAAUCUUGGUCUCUUUCCUGACUGCAAUGCUGAGCAACAGAGUCCACGAUGCGCCAGAGAGCGACAUAUACACGGCGGACCCUAAGGAGGCAGGCCUGGUCCUUGGAGCCUCAUGGGAGAGCUUCGCGGGAGCUUUGAGAAGCUGAGCCUCGGGUGACACCUGUCGUCGUCUCGGGGAGUGAGGCCAUCGUGGGCUAUGCACAGUGUGGGAAGAGGCUGACACCACUUUUUUCCCUUGCAAGGAUUUCGAGGGUGAUGGUCCAGCCAGGGGCAAUCCAGGGUGGAGCGGCCACAGACACCAGACCUCCAGGGACGUGUUGUGAGGCUGUGUGACAGAGGGAACCCCGGGGCCCCGAGUUUUCCUCUCCCUUCUCCUGGGGUAUCCAGAGGCUUCAUGCUUUGCUUCAUUUUUGCCGGUUUCUCUCUGCCCAAUGGCUCAGCAAGUCAGGUCAGGCCUCUUGGUCCUACCUAUGAGGGUUUGAGAAAUAAUAAAAGAACAAAGAUUCGGGAGCCCGUUGACUUCCCUUAAUUCUUCUCUUUGAGACACUCUACGCCAUCUCCUUCUAGACCCAGCUGUCAUUUGGGAAGGUCAAAUCAGACAUGUAAGAACACAAAAGCCACAUGUCAGGAGGUUCAUUUUCAUUUUUUUUUAAAGAAACGGUUAAUAGAGCUGCCCCAGACACUCUGCAGACUUCCCAGACUGGGCAGGUAAUGAUUAAGGGACUCCUCUUCUUCUUCUUUUAAUCAAAGAUUUUUCCCCCUUCUUUUUGGUCUUUUCACCUGACAGUGAGGGGAGUUCAUUAAUGGGGCGAACAAAAGGAGCCCAUUUGGGCAAUAUGCUUUAGGAGGGAAGGAAUCAGGUUCAUUUGAUGUUUGAUUUUCCAUCUUUUGGGGAAAAAAGAAAAAGAAUUACCCAGAUUUAUUUUGGCUCCUGAGAUGAUGAAUGGCAGCAGUGAACGCCUAAUCGUUCAGUGUGAUUUGGGUGCUCCGACUGUUUUGGCGAAUGAUCUUAAUCCGCUUGGAGCCUAUGUUGGGCUGAGACCUGGACCAUAAUCUUCUCGAAAAGAGAAUUUCCUCCUCCAUUUGCAAAGAAAUCCUAUUUGACUUGCACGUCAGCUGUCACGGUCAUUUGUCCGCUCUGGACAUGGCCAGGAAAUAAGUAAAUCUACGGAUGAAGACAGCAGAGGACAAGCAGGGUUUUGAGUGAUGAGUGGAUUGAUGAUUAUAACUGAGCUCGAGCUCGGCAUGCAUGAUUGUUUCUGAGAAAAUGAUUCUUUGGAGGGUCUCUUCAUCCAGCUUUCAUUUACAAAUGUGUAAGCUGGUCUGUAAAAGUUAAGGGGCUGCCAUUUUAAUGUAAAACCCUGAGGGAAGGGAACCUGCAUGCAGUUACAGGAAAAGUAGCUACUUUGGAAUCUGGCUUCAAAUCCUGACUCUGCUUCUUAUUAGGUGUUGCGACCUCAUGCAAUUCGCUCGAACCCCUGCAGCUGGAGUUUCUUCAGUUAUGAAAGGGAAUAAUAGCACUUACCUAUUAUAAUAAGAAUUCAGUAGAAUCACAUCUGUAAAGCUCCUGGCAUAUGGAAUGCCUUCUAGUGAACUUCUGUCUCUUUAGCCUUCAUCCACCUUAAAAUACGUCUCAUUAAAUGCAGAGCCAAGGUUAAUGGAGAAAGCUCUGGUAAUGUAUGAGAGAGCUGUUGCUAAGUGUUCUCCAGACACCCGCUGUCACUGCGGCCCCAUCACACCCAGAGCCACGUGAGGCUUUGAGGCUUGGGGCCCCAUGAGGGGCUUUGGGCAGCUGCUUACUGCAUACCAUCUUUGUGGAAUCCUCCAGAUCCUUUAAUGCUUUGUUCCUCUUUGGAGACAGAGGGUUGACCUUAAGGAUGCCAGCUUGGCCUGGCAGGCUGGAUGACCAGUGGCACCACCAAACACACAUUUCUUCCGUGCUUUCUUCUUGGGGGUGGAGGGGGGGGGAUGCGAGUAAUGUUCUCUGGGGUUCCCGGGUAGAGAUGUGGGGUGCUCUCCUGCAUUCUCGGAGCUUCUGCAGAAUGCCUUGCUCUCACAGUGAUGGUGGGAAGUAACCAGAGGCUCUGUGGAGCCUAUGAAAGGUGUGCCACUCACAUCUCAGUGUGACUGGUAACCCCGCAUUCCUCCCAGGGUAAACUUAUAGUCAUUCCCUCCAUUCUUUGGAAAGACAAGUGUCCAUUCUUCCUUGCAAAGCAGGGGAAAACCUUUGCCUUCCACCUUCUUCUAUUUUCUCCUCCAUCCUUUCAGAUUCUCCUGGAGAUUUUCUCUUUAAAAUCCCCAAAAUCCAGUUUUUGGGGUGCCUGGGUGGCUCAGUCGGUGAAGUGUCUGCCUUCGGCUCAGGUCAUGAUCCCAGGGUCUUGGGAU